rnacentral:rRNA from 1 species
GACAGAGGGUGCAAACGUUGUUCGGAAUUACUGGGCGUAAAGCGCGUGUAGGCAGCUUCGCAAGUCGGAUGUGAAAGCCCUGGGCUCAACCUAGGAAGUGCACUCGAAACUGCGAAGCUUGAGUCUCGGAGAGGGUCGCGGAAGUUCUCGGUGUAGAGGUGAAAUUCGUAGAUAUUAGGAAGAACACCGGUGGCGAAGGCGGCCCACUGGU